UACGGAGGGUGCGAGCGUUGUCCGGAAUCACUGGGCGUAAAGGGCGCGUAGGCGGCCCGGCAAGUCAACGGUGAAAGCUUGGGGCUCAACCCCGAGUCGGCCGUCGAUACUUCCGGGCUGGAGCACUGUAGAGGCAGGUGGAAUUCCGGGUGUAGCGGUGGAAUGCGUAGAGAUCGGCAGGAACACCCAGGGGGAAACCAGCGGACUGGGCAUCAGCUGACGCUCAGGUGCGACAGCGUGGGGAGCGAACCGG
rnacentral:rRNA from 1 species